GGGAUUUACCGUGUAGUGCAAGCUGACUUUGAAGUUGUGAUUUUCCUGCCUUAGCCUUCCAAAUUCUGGGAUUACAGGACUUGUGGAGAAAUGACAGUCCCUUGCUGCUGCAUUUAAUUGGAGAGGAGCACAGAGACCUGAGAUUGUAAUUAUGACGACAUAAAUGUCAAGCUCUUCAAAAGCCUGCAUGCCCUCACUGUCACCCUGCACAGCUCUGGGAACCAAAACCCUGCAGCCCCCUCCCCUCGCUCCCUGAGCAUGCCCUGGGUCUCUCAGCCAGGUUCCACCUGGGAAAUCUGAGUGACAGUGACGUGCAGGCAGCUGGAAGACACACCGUACACCGAGGAGCCUGUGAUGAGCUCAGAAGAGAUCCUGGCUCCCAGGCCGAAGUCCUUUGGAGGCCUCGCUCAAGUCACCCUAAGCGGGACUGCACUAGAGCUCUCUGUUUUCUGCAACCAAGGCUGCAGGAAGGACAAGGAGCCACACACUGUCUCUGCUCACCAGCCAGGUGGUCCACGCGUGCUGGCCCUGCACACGCCCACCAGCCCUGUGGCUCUGGGUGGACUGCUCUCUGAGACUCUGAGUUCCCUUUUCUUUCUUUUCUUUUCAAGACAGGAUCUUGCUAUGUAUUUCAGGGGCUGGCCCUAAACUCACUGGGUAGCCAAGGCUGCCCUCAAUCUCACAGAGAUCCUCCUGCCUCAGCCUCUCAUGGGCUGAGAUUCUAGAUGUACUCCAACAUGCCCAGGAGGGACUUAGUUUUCUUACCAGUCAAUUGGGGAUAAUAGAAGUUACCU